GCUGUAAGAGCUGCACCUGCCCUCUGAAACGACACUUUGUGUCACGUAACAUAACAUUAAGCAACCAUCUCCCUUCCCUCCACUGAUCAGGUCUAAUACAACAGCUGUGGUCAACCGAGCUGCAGGUCCUGUGUCAGAGCCGGUUACCUCGGCAACGCGUCACAACAAAAAAAGUUCACUCAGCCGCUUCUUGUGAAAAACUUACGAUUUUAACAGUAAUAAACAACAUUAACGUAUUAAUAAUUUAUUUAAUAUUUUUUUCUUUCGUAAGUGACCAUGGUAUAAGCGGGAUAAUACCCUUCGAGGUGUCCGUCAUCGGUUCACGCCUCCACAUCGUCCAUUAAUUUAUGAUAAUGGACACCUCAUCGGGCAUUGUCUCUUACGUAAACACCAGAAUGGAUUUUACAGAUCAGUAUUUUGAUACAAGCAACACGCACAAAUGCACUACAGUCUUUCAGUAAUAUGUCACUACAUGCUGGACAGCUUUACAGAGCUUGUUCCUGGACUAUUACAUUUUUAUAGUUCUAUAUUUCAUUUCAUAUGCUUUAAAGUUAAAAUAAUUAUGUUUUUAUGUGCUUAACAAGCACUUCAUCUGCAGUGUUACCGUCCUCUUUGUGCAGUAAUGAAGGGUUUUCUCCUUUCUGUAAGCAGUUUUUCGUUAACUUUCUUUUUAUUUACUUGAUGAAACUCGGCCAGAAGCACAAAUGUAUUUUUUCUUUCUGGUGUAACUUCUCAGAUUCAUUGGCCAUCCGUCACUAAUUGCACUGACUGUGAGUUAGAUUUCUGCCUAUAAAGAUCUCUUAUGCCUCAAGGAAACAGUGAAGCUGCUCACAACUGGAACAAUAAGCUUAAUUCUUUCAUUUCACUGUGUUCUGAGAUUUUUUUUAAUCUCGGGAAGGAGAUAAACAAAAUUCUUUGUAAAUGUAAACUGUAUUAAACGACUGAGGCACAUCUUUACGCUGCAUAAAAGUUCAAGCACUAAAGACUUCAGCUCAUGUAAAUGUAUAUUUUACAUCUGAACUCUAAACACAGUUCACUUUCCUGUUCUUAACUGUGACGUCACUGUGGUUAUUAGCCUGGUUAGGUAGGAAACUGUUUUAGAAGUGAACCGUGCUGCAUGCAUGCAUGCCUACUGCUGGAGAUAUUCAGUGUUUCAUGCCAUGAUCAUAAUGUAAACAGUAUUUAUGAUGCAACAUUGCUGCCAUUUGUACUCUGUAUUCAUGACUGUUUAUUGGCCACUGAUUUGGUCACAGUCCAUGUUAUAACUGAAAACAACCAAGAAAAAGGUGUUUGGUAUCAGUGUUAAUGAUUUGUUCCUACAGAUAACAUCGAAAACAUUUGUGAUUGUUGUGUUUAAUCCCUCCACAGAAUGAUGUAGGAUGAUGUAUGAAUUAAUGAUGAAUGUUAUUUUGGUCUUUCCUUUGUGAAAAGCUGCUCACACGAGGCCAGGUGUUUGAUCUGAUAAACGAGAUGAAACUGACACUUGUUUUAAAUAAAGUCGUCUACAUGUGAAGUCAAA